GCCAGCAGCCAUAUCACCCUGCAACUCACACCUGGCAGCCCACUGAAGCUCAGCAGGUGUGAGCCUGCUCAGUACCUGGAUGGGAGACCUCCUGGGAAAAACUAAGGCUGCUGCUGGAA
rfam:Lepisosteus oculatus linkage group LG12, whole genome shotgun sequence.